ACAAAAAUGACAUUGGGUAGAUGCUUGGUGGAGGCCGAAGACUACACUAGUAAGAUACUUGGCAGAGGUGAAGACCUCGUUAGAAAGAUACUCAAUAGAGGUCAAAAACCUCGUUGGAAAGAUAUUCGGUGAAUGUGAAAAACCUCAUUAGAAAAAUACUUGACAAUGCAUAAAAGUUGCUAGAAAGAUACUUGUAGAGUUGGAAAACUUCAUCGAAAAGAUACUCAAUGAAUGUAAAAAACCUCACUGAAAAUAUAUUAGUAGAAGUGAAAUACAUCAUUAGAAAGAUGCUUAAUAGAGGUAGAAAACCUCACCAAAAGGAUACUUGGCAAAG
rnacentral:lncRNA from 1 species